rnacentral:precursor_RNA from 1 species
GCUGAAGGUGGCGACAUUAGCUAAUAGGGAAAAUGAUGAGAGACCAUCAAACCGGGAGGGGUAGUGUGGCCGAGCGGUCU